rnacentral:rRNA from 1 species
CGAGCGUACACUCCCAACCCAUGUGAACGUUACCAAACUGUUGCCUCGGCGGG